AUGACCUCCGGCCGGUCUGGAUCUCCGGCGUGCACGCGCCUGCUGAUGUUGUGGCUGGUUCGGAGGUGGCGGCAGGGUGCUUGGCCGGGGGAAACCCUUGGCCGCCGGUGGCGGUCACGGCGUCGAUGGCGUCCCGGACGCCAUUCCCUCCUUGAUGGCGGCGCCGAGGCUAAACCUCCCCUGCCUCCCCCCUCCCCCUGCGCCCGGGUGAAAACCCUAGCCCCGGUGGCUAAGCGGCGGCGGCGCCACAGCGUCGUUACCUUCUUGAAGGCGCCGACUUGGGCAUGGGGAUGUUGGGUGUGCAUGGCGAGUUUGUCUGGUUCCUGGUGGCGGCCCAUGUCUGGCCGUGUCUCCGAUGGCGACCUCGCCCUUUCUCACCUUGUACUUGCCAUGGUGGAGCGGUACUUCAUCUCACUCAUUGAUGGCGGCGGAGAUCGGCGGCAUGGCGCCGUGGAGGCUCGGCGUCCGAUGUGCGGAGAUGGACUCGCGCAGGAGGAGGUAGUUGUCUGGCGUCAUGGUGACGUCGAUGGCAGUAGUGGCCUUCACAAGGUAGAAGAUUCAAUAUAA
rnacentral:rRNA from 1 species